UCUUUAGGGCUAGCGUCGAGAGAAGAGUUGCGUGAAGGUAGAGCACUGAAUAUGUGAUGGCCCCAUCUCGGGGUACUGAGCAUAAUCAAACUGCGAAUGUCACGCCAACAUGCUCGGCAGUCAGACAGCGGGUGAUAAGGUCCGUUGUCAAGAGGGAAACAGCCCAGACCAUCAGCUAAGGUCCCAAAAUGUAUGCUAAGUGGAAAAGGAUGUGGAGAUGCACAGACAACUAGGAGGUUGGCUUAGAAGCAGCCAUCCUUUAAAGAGUGCGUAACAGCUCACUAGUCGAAUGACUCUGCGCCGAUAAUUUACCGGGGCUAAGCAUACUACCGAAGCUAUGGAUCCCAAGGGAUGGUAGGGGAGCGUUCCAUGAACGGAGAAGUACGACCGAAAGGACGUGUGGAGAUCAUGGAAGAGAGAAUGCCGGUGUGAGUAGCGGAACGUGGGUGAGAAUCCCACGCACCGAAAACCCAAGGUUUCCAGAGGAAGGUUCGUCCGCUCUGGGUAAGUCGGGACCUAAGGCGAGGCCGAAAGGCGUAGUCGAUGGACAACAGGUAGAGAUUCCUGUACCCGUAUAUAUGUGAAGGAAUGACGGAGAGAGGAAGCUGCAGCCAGCGGCUGGAAGAGCUGGUGCAAGCGAGAUAUCGGGAUGGCAGGCAAAUCCACCAUCCGAAACGAGAAGGCGUGAAGCGUACGGAAAGCUACGGCGAGUACGGAAGGCAGUGGAGGAACUUCCAAGAAAAGUUUCUAACGUUAAGUAUAUAUGGCCCGUACCGAAAAUGGACACACAUGGGUGAGGAGAGAAUCCUAAGGUGAGCGAGAGAACUAUAGCUAAGGAACUCUGCAAAAUGACUCCGUAACUUAGGGAGAAGGAGUGCUCAUAGAGAUAUGAGCCGCAGUGAAACGGCCCAAGCGACUGUUUACCAAAAACACAGCUCUCUGCUAAGCCGCAAGGCGAAGUAUAGGGGGUGACGCCUGCCCGGUGCUGGAAGGUUAAGGGGAGGGGUUAACGCAAGUGAAGCCCUGAACUGAAGCCCCAGUAAACGGCGGCCGUAACUAUAACGGUCCUAAGGUAGCGAAAUUCCUUGUCAGGUAAGUUCUGACCCGCACGAAAGGCGUAACGAUUUGGGCGCUGUCUCAGCUGUAGACUCGGUGAAGUCUUAGUACCUGUGAAGAUGCAGGUUACCCGCGACUAGACGGAAAGACCCCAUGGAGCUUCACUGCAGGUUGAUAUUGGGAUUUGAUGCAGCAUGUACAGGAUAGGUAGGAGGCAAAGAGAUGGAUACGCCAGUAUUCAAGGAGCCGCUGUUGGGAUACUACCCCUGUUGUAUUGGAUUUCUAACCGGACGACGUAGAGCCGUUGACGGGACAGUGUCAGUCGGGCAGUUUGACUGGGGCGGUCGCCUCCCAAAGAGUAACGGAGGCGCCCAAAGAUACCCUCAGCUUGGAUGGAAACCAAGCGCAGAGUGCAAAGGCAAAAGGGUGUUUGACUGCGAGACCCACAAGUCGAGCAGGGACGAAAGUCGGGCUUAGUGAUCCGGCGGUGCUGAAUGGAAAGGCCGUCGCUCAACGGAUAAAAGCUACCCUGGGGAUAACAGGCUGAUCUCCCCCAA
rnacentral:rRNA from 1 species